rnacentral:rRNA from 1 species
AACGAACGCUGGCGGCAUGCCUAACACAUGCAAGUCGAACGAGACCUUCGGGUCUAGUGGCGCACGGGUGCGUAACGCGUGGGAACCUUCCCUUAGGUUCGGAAUAACUCCCCGAAAGGGGUGCUAAUACCGGAUAAUGUCUUCGGACCAAAGAUUUAUCGCCUUUGGAUGGUCCCGCGUUGGAUUAGCUAGUUGGUAGGGUAAAAGCCUACCAAGGCGACGAUCCAUAGCUGGUCUGAGAGGAUGAUCAGCCACACUGGGACUGAGACACGGCCCAGACUCCUCCGGGAGGCAGCAGUGGGGAAUAUUGGACAAUGGGCGAAAGCAUGAUCCAGCAAUGCCGCGUGAGUGAUGAAGGCCUUAGGGUUGUAAAGCUCUUUUAACCGGGAUGAUAAUGACAGUACCGGGAGAAUAAGCUCCGGCUAACUACGUG